rnacentral:rRNA from 1 species
UACGUAGGGGGCAAGCGUUGUCCGGAAUCAUUGGGCGUAAAGAGCGUGUAGGCGGUUCGGUAAGUCCGCUGUAAAAGUCCAGGGCUCAACCCUGGAAAGCCGGUGGAAACUGUCGAACUAGAGUCCGGAAGAGGCGAGUGGAAUUCCUGGUGUAGCGGUGAAAUGCGCAGAUAUCGGGAGGAACACCAGUGGCGAAGGCGGCUUUCUGGCCUGUUCUUGACGCUGAGGCGCGAAAGCUAGGGUAGCAAACGGGG